GACGAACGCUGGCGGCGUGCUUAACACAUGCAAGUCGAACGAAGAGCGAUGGAAGCUUGCUUCUAUCAAUCUUAGUGGCGAACGGGUGAGUAACGCGUAAUCAACCUGCCCUUCAGAGGGGGACAACAGUUGGAAACGACUGCUAAUACCGCAUACGAUCUAAUCUCGGCAUCGAGGAUAGAUGAAAGGUGGCCUCUACAUGUAAGCUAUCACUGAAGGAGGGGAUUGCGUCUGAUUAGCUAGUUGGAGGGGGAACGGCCCACCAAGGCGAUGAUCAGUAGCCGGUCUGAGAGGAUGAACGGCCACAUUGGGACUGAGACACGGCCCAGACUCCUACGGGAGGCAGCAGUGGGGAAUCUUCCGCAAUGGACGAAAGUCUGACGGAGCAACGCCGCGUGAGUGAUGACGGCCUUCGGGUUGUAAAGCUCGGUUAAUCGGGACGAAAGGCCUUCUUGCGAAUAGUGAGAAGGAUUGACGGUACCGGAAUAGAAAGCCACGGCUAACUACGUG
rnacentral:rRNA from 1 species